UUGUGCAUCUACACAAGCACCAACGCACUAAGUUAACUUCCCAUGCAUUGCAAUGUGUGUUUGUUGGAUAUGCAUUGCACAAAAAGGGAUAUCGAUGUUACCAUCCUUCAACUCGACAAAUGUAUAUUACAAUGGAUGUGGUGUUUCAUGAAGAUUCGAUAUAUUUUUCAUCUGAGUCUGAACUUUAGGGGGAGUACCAUAAGGAAAUUCAGACUCUUGAUUAUGAUUAUCAUAUCUCUAAGGAAGAUGAAUCUGGACAAUCUGAACUAGUGAACCAGGAAGUGGGUGAGUUGGAUAUGAGUAGUCAACAAUCUGGGUUCGAAGAUGUCUUCACUGAAAUACCAAACCAAUCGUCGUCUGUUGAGACUUGAGGGUGUUCUUAAUUUGGAACCCGAUCCAUUCAUGAAACGGUUACCACAUCGUCAUAAUAGAGGUAUUCCUAAACCCACAUAUGAACCUGAUUUGUCUACCAAAGUCAAAUAUCCCAUAAGCAACUAUGUGUCUAACCAUCGUUUGUCUGAAUCAAAUAAGUCAUUUGUAAAUCAAUUAUCUACUGUAGUUAUUCCUAACAGUGUGCAGGAAGCCUUAGUUGAUCCAAGGUGGAAAGCAAGAUUGGUUAACCGAUAUCCUCACCAAAGCUGUCUCAAGUCAAGUAUUCUCAAAAUUUUUAGACAAGUUGGGCAUGUGUGACAUCUAUGCACCAACUUGAGGGGGAGUGUUGAGAUAUUAGGAAUGCUUUCCUUAUAUCAUUAUUUCCUUAUAUCAUUUAGUGUUUAGAUAUUAGGAAAGUUAAGAUAUUAUGAAUAUUAAUAUAUUAGGAAUAUUGAGAUAUUAGGAAUAUUGAGAUAUUAGGAAAGUUGAGAUAUUAGGAUAUUAGUUGUUAUUUCCUUAUAUUAUUCUUUCCUUAUAUCAUCCUUUCCCAUUCUUAGAAUGGUGAUUACCCUCUAUAUACACUCUGUACAUGAACGAAAGAAAGUAUGAAUGAAAAACUACCAUUCAUCAAUUUGAACAAGUUGCUAUCAAGUGAGAGAGCAAGGCAGGUCACUAGAGCACAAUGUCCUCUGGCUGUUUCUAAGGCUUUUGCUCCAUCUGAUGAUAUUAGCCUUAUGCUAUUAUCCACAUGUCCACCUGUGAUAAUUCUUUUGCCACAGGUGAUGGAAACAAUGGCUGAGCUUCUAAUUCCUAAGGUUGCAAAAGCUAGUGCUCGUGGAAAGUGCCACUCAUCAGAACUAGAGCCAGUUGGACCUUUGAACAUGCGCAUGAAUGUUCUGCUACUGGAGCUUCCUAUGGCCUUUCCAUGAUGAAAAAGAAAAGGCGUCCCCUGGCCAUCAGGUGUGUUUGGCUGCCACUUGUGUUGUGCUACAUGUGCCGCUGCUUCAGCAUUUGUUGCUGUUUGAGUUGCUGAAAUUGAGUCACUUGAAACUGCUGAUGAGAAGUCGAAUGGUUGGAGUAGAAUCCAGCGUCUGUGUUAGCGUUCUUCAUAGGGACAGAGAUAGGACUAGGUUUUCUCGGGGGGACCAACAGUCCUCGGCUCUGUUGGUAU
rnacentral:lncRNA from 1 species